UGGGGAAUAUUGGACAAUGGGCGCAAGCCUGAUCUAGCCAUGCCGCGUGAGUGAUGAAGGCCCUAGGGUUGUAAAGCUCUUUCACCGGUGAAGAUAAUGACGGUAACCGGAGAAGAAGCCCCGGCUAACUUCGUGCCAGCAGCCGCGGUAAUACGAAGGGGGCUAGCGUUGUUCGGAUUUACUGGGCGUAAAGCGCACGUAGGCGGACUUUUAAGUCAGGGGUGAAAUCCCGGGGCUCAACCCCGGAACUGCCUUUGAUACUGGAAGUCUUGAGUAUGGUAGAGGUGAGUGGAAUUCCGAGUGUAGAGGUGAAAUUCGUAGAUAUUCGGAGGAACACCAGUGGCGAAGGCGGCUCACUGGACCAUUACUGACGCUGAGGUGCGAAAGCGUGGGGAGCAAACAGG
rnacentral:rRNA from 1 species